AGAGGUGUGCUCUUCCGUUCAAGGUAGGAAGGACCUUCUAACUGCCCAGGGUAGGACGGACGUUCCAACUACUAGGUAGGAAGGCCCUUCUAACCGCUCAAGGUAGGAAGGACCUCCUAACCGCUUAAGGUAGGAAGGACCUUCCAACACCAUGGGAAUCUCAUAGGUUUAGAGUGAAGUUAGGUCACUAGUCCAUGAGCAGUGGAAUGAGCCUGGUCUAGAAGGCCAGGGUCUGAUGAUAGGAUGGAUGGGCUUAGGCUACCGUGUGCUGGAUCGAGAGGAUAAAAGGUAAGGAAAUAAAGAAGAGGAUGUAGUGUGGUACUUACAUAAGGAGAAUGUUUUCAAAUAUAAAUACAAGUAUAAUGAAUAUUGUAUUUCCAAGUGGCAGGAAGGAAAAAAGGAACAUCCAGUGGGCUUUAAAAGGUGUGUCUGCAAUGAGCAGGGCUAUAUUCUUUUUCUGAGCUUUGCAGUGGAGGUGAGAAAGUGAGGAGGAGGAGGAUGUGGGAGGACUGGCUUUAUUCUUCUAACUUGCCAUUUGAGAGAAGAGGAAAGAAGAGGAGGAUGGCUGACAUGGGAGAGCUGAAGGCAGGGCAGUCUACGAUAAGCAGCAGGGAGAAUCAAUGGAAAACCCAGAGAGGUGAUUUGCACAGCUUCAGUAGUGGUGGUGGGACAGCAAUGGAAACCAUCUGAGUAUGAAAGCAGAUACAGGAAGGAAGAAGGUCCUAGAGACAAGAGUCAUGAGUUAAGACCAAGUGGCAGGUUUUAGGUUUUUAGAGCAGUAUGGGCCACAGAGAAAAUGCUGGGAGUCUUCCACUAACCAGAGGGCACAAAAAGAAACAGGCUUGAAGCAGAAAGGCUGCAGGAAGGAAGGAGGUACAUCAAGAUGAUGUAGCACAUGGUGGAGUCAGCUGUAGAAGACAGGGCAGAGACACUAGAGAGAAGAGAGCAGGGAGCAGAGAGCAGGGACACAAGCUGGACAACUGCAGGCACAAGAAAGUGGGAAGUCGCAGAGGCAGAAGGAGGCCCUUAAGAGCGGUCUGGCCAACUUGCAAGCCACACUUUGGGAAGAAAAACCAAACCAAAGCAAGCAGGGGUGGGAAGCAAGCAGCAGGGAGAAAUGGGAUCUUGAACCCUGAAUACUGUUAGAAUGGUGCAAAUGUGGAGCCAGGCUCUUAGUCUGGAUCUGGCAGGGAAGGAAGGACGGUGAGGAUGGUUGCAGAGAGAGGAUUUGGGCCAGGGUUAAUACAGCUUGCUGGACUGGAUGGAAGGGCAGUUUUGGGAGCAGUGGGGACUGGGGUGGAGACACAAGCCUGGUUUUAGGCAUUGAGAAGACAUCU